GGAUUAGAUACCCCGGUAGUCCACGCCGUAAACGAUGAGUGUUAAGUGUUAGAGGGUUUCCGCCCUUUAGUGCUGCAGCUAACGCAUUAAGCACUCCGCCUGGGGAGUACGGUCGCAAGACUGAAACUCAAAGGAAUUGACGGGGGCCCGCACAAGCGGUGGAGCAUGUGGUUUAAUUCGAAGCAACGCGAAGAACCUUACCAGGUCUUGACAUCCUCUGACAACUCUAGAGAUAGAGCGUUCCCCUUCGGGGG
rnacentral:rRNA from 1 species